GGGCGAGUAGCUCAGCUUGGAAGAGCGUCUGGUUUGCAACCAGAAGGCCGCGGGUUCAAAUCCCGUCUCGUCCA
rnacentral:tRNA from 1 species